rnacentral:rRNA from 1 species
GUUUGAUCAUGGCUCAGAUUGAACGCUGGCGGCAGGCCUAACACAUGCAAGUCGAACGGUAACAGGAAGAAGCUUGCUUCUUUGCUGACGAGUGGCGGACGGGUGAGUAAUGUCUGGGAAACUGCCUGAUGGAGGGGGAUAACUACUGGAAACGGUAGCUAAUACCGCAUAACGUCGCAAGACCAAAGAGGGGGACCUUCGGGCCUCUUGCCAUCGGAUGUGCCCAGAUGGGAUUAGCUUGUUGGUGGGGUAACGGCUCACCAAGGCGACGAUCCCUAGCUGGUCUGAGAGGAUGACCAGCCACACUGGAACUGAGACACGGUCCAGACUCCUACGGGAGGCAGCAGUGGGGAAUAUUGCACAAUGGGCGCAAGCCUGAUGCAGCCAUGCCGCGUGUAUGAAGAAGGCCUUCGGGUUGUAAAGUACUUUCAGCGGGGAGGAAGGGAGUAAAGUUAAUACCUUUGCUCAUUGACGUUACCCGCAGAAGAAGCACCGGCUAACUCCGUGCCAGCAGCCGCGGUAAUACGGAGGGUGCAAGCGUUAAUCGGAAUUACUGGGCGUAAAGCGCACGCAGGCGGUUUGUUAAGUCAGAUGUGAAAUCCCCGGGCUCAACCUGGGAACUGCAUCUGAUACUGGCAAGCUUGAGUCUCGUAGAGGGGGGUAGAAUUCCAGGUGUAGCGGUGAAAUGCGUAGAGAUCUGGAGGAAUACCGGUGGCGAAGGCGGCCCCCUGGACGAAGACUGACGCUCAGGUGCGAAAGCGUGGGGAGCAAACAGGAUUAGAUACCCUGGUAGUCCACGCCGUAAACGAUGUCGACUUGGAGGUUGUGCCCUUGAGGCGUGGCUUCCGGAGCUAACGCGUUAAGUCGACCGCCUGGGGAGUACGGCCGCAAGGUUAAAACUCAAAUGAAUUGACGGGGGCCCGCACAAGCGGUGGAGCAUGUGGUUUAAUUCGAUGCAACGCGAAGAACCUUACCUGGUCUUGACAUCCACAGAACUUUCAGAGAUGAUUGGUGCCUUCGGGAACUGUGAGACAGGUGCUGCAUGGCUGUCGUCAGCUCGUGUUGUGAAAUGUUGGGUUAAGUCCCGCAACGAGCGCAACCCUUAUCCUUUGUUGCCAGCGGUCCGGCCGGGAACUCAAAGGAGACUGCCAGUGAUAAACUGGAGGAAGGUGGGGAUGACGUCAAGUCAUCAUGGCCCUUACGACCAGGGCUACACACGUGCUACAAUGGCGCAUACAAAGAGAAGCGACCUCGCGAGAGCAAGCGGACCUCAUAAAGUGCGUCGUAGUCCGGAUUGGAGUCUGCAACUCGACUCCAUGAAGUCGGAAUCGCUAGUAAUCGUGGAUCAGAAUGCCACGGUGAAUACGUUCCCGGGCCUUGUACACACCGCCCGUCACACCAUGGGAGUGGGUUGCAAAAGAAGUAGGUAGCUUAACCUUAGGGAGGGCGCUUACCACUUUGUGAUUCAUGACUGGGGUGAAGUCGUAACAAGGUAACCGUAGGGGAACC